GUCCCCGUAGCGCAAGCGACAGCGCGUUGGACUUCUAAUCCAAAGGUGAUUGUGGUUCGAAUACCUGGGAUG